GACGAACGCUGGCGGCGUGCUUAACACAUGCAAGUCGAACGGAAAGGCCGUGCUUUUGUGGGGUGCUCGAGUGGCGAACGGGUAAGUAACACUUGAGUAACCUGCCCUUGACUUUGGGAAAACUUCAGGAAACUGGGGCUAAAACCGAAUAGGAGCUCAUGCUGCAUGGUGGGGGUAGGAAAGUUUCGGGGGCUGGGGAUGGACUUGCGGCUUAUCAGCUUGUUGGGGGGGGUGUGGCUUACCAAGGCUGUGGAGGGGAGCCGGCCUGAGAGGGUGACCGGGCACAUUGGGGCCUGGAUCAGGCCCAGACUCCUACGGGGGGGAAGAGUGGGGAAUAAUGCAACAUGGGCGGAAGACUGAUGCAGCAAAACUGUGUGCGGGAUAAGGGGCUUCGGGUUGUAUACAGCUUUCGCCUUUGACGAAGAGAAAAUGACGGUAAUGGGUGAAGAAGUAACGGCUAACUACGUG
rnacentral:rRNA from 1 species